AGAGGAAUAGCUGGGUCAAAUGGUAGUUCAAUUCCCAUUUUUCCAAGACAUAUCCAUACUGCUUUCUAUAUUGGCUUCACCAACUUUGCAGUCCCACCAGCAAU
rnacentral:pre_miRNA from 1 species